UACGUAGGCAGCGAGCGUUGUUCGGAGUUACUGGGCGUAAAGAGUGCGUAGGCGGUUUUCUAAGUUUGGUGUGAAAUCUCCCGGCUCAACUGGGGGGUGCGCCGAAGACUGGAAGGCUUGAGUAUGGGAGAGGUAAGCGGAAUUCCUGGUGUAGCGGUGAAAUGCGUAGAUAUCAGGAGGAACACCUGCGGUGUAGACGGCUUACUGGACCAUAACUGACGCUGAGGCACGAAAGCGUGGGUAGCAAACAGG
rnacentral:rRNA from 1 species